GCCCUUCCCCUCCUAAUGGGGAGAAAAAACUUUUUUUUUAAAUACUAGGAAACCGCUUGUAAUUAAAUGCAGUUCGUGUGCGUGUGUGUGCGCCAAGGAUACUAAAACCAAUUGGUUACGUUUAGCACGCCGUGUGAUUUCUCCCUCUCCCUACCCCCCACCGUCUUUUUCCUGUUUUUUCCACAGUCUGUGUGACUCAUUGUUUUAAACACUCGGAUGCAACAGAAGCUGUAAUCUGAUUAGGCUGACGAUGCAAAACCAGCGUUGCAGCUUUAAAACCGGAGGUGAAACGAUCACAAACCAGCAGCUGUGGGGCUGAGAGAACAUCGCUCAGUUUCUGAGGGCAGCCAUAGGAGGUGCUGAAACUGACUCGAAAUUGAUGGAGUCGCUUGUUGGCGGGAAAUGGGCGCAACUCGGUCUCAUUCGGCAGUGACUACUGCCACAAGGUAUUCUCCAGGCGUCGAGGUACCUUGCUUGAACGCCAGACUCAUCCACAGACUUGAAUACAGACCGGGGAGUGAAUAGUCCCAUAGAAUAGAAGGAAGAUCCGACUCAGCUUGAGCGAGUCGUUGCAAUGGAGAAUUUGCUGAUACGUUUCUCAAGGGCAUCGUGGAGAUUUAUUUUUCAAUCUCAACAUGAACACACGAGCAAGACAGAUCAAGCUAAUCUCCUCCCAGCCCCUCUCGCUCCCCGCUCCUUUUCUUAUUGGCAAAAAAAAGGGCCACGCACUAACGGUGCUGAAGGCAGCGGCACUUUCGGCAUUGGGAAUGUGACGACGGCCGAAAUAAAAUGGUGAAUUUUAAUUUUCUAACUGGGAGCUGAAGAGGCCGUUUGAGCGCGGGAGUGGUUUUCCUCAGGAGUGCAGUUAAUGGGGACUCGUCCCAGCAAAAGUGCCUCGUUCUUUCUGUUCCGCUAUACUUCCAGCCUUUUCGGAUCCACUCCCAAGAAUGUCCAAAUGGGGACAUAGUGUUUCACCAGACACUUAGUGCUAAAAUCGGCUGACCCGUCAUUUUUCCACUCAGCAUUUUGCAACAAGAAGGAAAACGCUGGCUAGCAAUGUCGUUUGGGAUACCACCAGUUCAUUUUUCAGAGCUCCAAACAAAACAAAAAUAUGGCUUUCACUUGUAUAAAUUUAAAGAAUGUAGAGCCGGGAAAUUGCGAGUGUUGCCGGAGUAGAAACUGAGCACUCUGUGACAAUGACCAACUAGAAUUAAACACACAAAUACUUGUCGCUGCGCGAUUUCUAUUCAAACAGAGAACUUGUGGUUGGCAUCGUGGAGCGUCCCGCUAUCUCAGACCCAACAUGACCGAGCUCACUUUAUAGGGCCUGAAAAAAUAUACAUGGAUUUCAUUGAGAUGAUGAACAGGAAUGUUUAUAAUCAGAUUUUAUUGUCAUUUUAUUGAAUGUUCGAAUCUAUAUGUGAAUACAGAGGGAAAUACAAGCACUGGUAGAAAGACGAUAUUGUGAUGACUAGAUUUAAAAUCUUCCAGCAUUAAUGUUUGACACCCAGAUAUCAAAUUUAUGUAGCGAUAAUAGUGGAACUGAAAAUGAGGCUCCUCACAAAUGUCAAACUGCAGCAACUUAAAAUAUGGUUUAUGUAGGGACUGAACAUAUAUACCUUGAUAUGUACAUUAGUGUAGUAAUGCAGAGAGAUCCACUGGGAUGACGAAUAUUCCCGGUAAAAGAUACAAGUAUGAUGACAAAACGAUCUAAACUUGCAGUUAUGAAUGUACUGUGUGUGUGUGACAGUGUGAGUUUCAGAGAGCGUGAAUGAAGCAGAACGGUAGAAACAGUAUUAACAUAGCUGGGGGAUUUCAUCUCCCUGGUGGUUUCUCAGCGUGUGGGGAGGAAGUUCAAGGUAAACCCGGGCCUUUGUUAUCACAGACAGUCCUUCAGCUCAUACAGUCGACCCAGGAGCUGAUGCUGAACUCUUGUGUCCUGUCCAGACUCCGGCGUACAGAUCCCGCGCCCUUAAUGAAUGCAGCCUUGUAUAAUUAAAUAAUUGACUGUUCCCCGGAGGAGCUAUUCGGCGCAUCUGUUCACUGGCUCCACAGGGGAUCCUAGACAAUAUAGGACAGGCAGAAGCUGGAGGAGGAAUCCCGGCACAGAGCUGGUUGUUUCAUCACAGACUCUUUGGGAAAACGCCACCUGCUUUUUAAAUGAACGAGAACAAAAAUCAGGAAAUACUGAACAAAACACAUUUUAACAUUUAAAACGAUGUAGUAUUUCAAAACCAUUAAUUCAUUUGUUUUGCAGAUGUCUUUAGUAUGAUCACAGAUCUUUCUACUUACAAGCCCAACACUAUCCAUUAAAAUUAUUUACACAUUGUAACAAUUCUGCUUUUACUAAGGAGCCUAGGUGUCAUUUGUACUAGACAGCCCAGGGACCAGUUGGCUGAUUCUGAAUGAAAACCGGUUUGGCGGGCAGGAGGACAGGACUGAAUAUUUUGUCUGCAAAUAUAAAAGAACAGCAAAUAUGGACCCAAAGUUUUGGUGCGAAUUGUGUGUUGAUAGUUUGCUUUGGACUGUGGCAAGUGAUGGAAGGUUUCAGAUUCUUUUUGUUCAGUGAAUCCCUCGCAAAAUCACAAAUGAGGGAAUUUGCAAUAAAUAUCUUGACAGCAGCAACUAGGAAGAGAGAGCAGCACGCAUCAAGAGUGACUGUGACGGUAGAUUAAUCUGUAUACUUCUGUAUUGUCUCGCGUAUUUUGUUUAAUAAACAGUGAAUCAAUAUUUA